rnacentral:rRNA from 1 species
GUAGUAAAUUUAGCCUAAAUAAAUAUUCUUAAAUUAAAGACAAUAAAACAUUCUUAUUAUUCUAGUACAGGAGAUGAAAAAAAUUUUAAGCGCAAUAAAAAUAGUACUGCAAAGGAAAAAUGAAAUAGAAAUUAAAUAAAUCAUUAAAACAAUAAAAAGCAAAGAUUAAACCUUUUACCUUUUGCAUUAUGGUCUAGUAAGUCUAACCUAACAAAUAGAAAUUUAGUCAGAUUUCCCGAAACUAGACGAGCUACUUCGGAGCAGCAUAAUAAGAGCAAACCCUUCUCUGUGGCAAAAGAGUGGGAUGACUUCCUAGUAGCGGUGAUAAACCUAACGAGUCUAG